CAGCCGCCGCGGUAAUACAGAGGGUGCAAGCGUUAAUCGGAAUUACUGGGCGUAAAGCGCGCGUAGGUGGUUCGUUAAGUUGGAUGUGAAAUCCCUGGGCUCAACCUGGGAACUGCAUUCAAAACUGACGAGCUAGAGUAUGGUAGAGGGUGGUGGAAUUUCCUGUGUAGCGGUGAAAUGCGUAGAUAUAGGAAGGAACACCAGUGGCGAAGGCGACCACCUG
rnacentral:rRNA from 1 species